AUGCAGCAGCAGCAUCAGAAAUUCAGAAGAGCAGUGUCAGCCGUUGCGUGCGCGCGCGCGAAUUCGAUAUCGGCGAAUGCCAGGCGAAGCCGUCGCUUUGACGGCCCCGGCGUACGGCGCUCUGAUCCACCGCCUCGCCUCCACCGGCCGCGUCGAUGCCGUCCACGCCGCCCUCGCCUCCGCGCGCUCGGCCCUCGCCCCGCCUCCCUCCACCCGCUCUACGUUGCCUCCAUACGCGCCUUCGCCCGGGCCGGCCGCCUCCAGGCCGCCGUCGACGCCUUCGAGCGCAUGGACCUCUUCGCCUGCCCGCCCCAAGCCACCGCCUAUAACGCCAUCAUGGACGCCCUCGUCCACGCCCACCACCACCACCACCAGGCUCACAAGGUCUACGUCAGGAUGCUCGCCACCGGGCUUGCCCCCGACCUUCACACCCACACCAUCCGCCUCCGCUCCUUCUGCCUCACCGCCCGCCCGCAUGUUGCCCUCAGACUCCUGCGCACUCUGCCAGACCGUGGAUGCCAUGCCAGACCCGUCGCAUACUGCACCGUCGUGUCUGGACUCUAUGCGCACGGCCACCCCCACGACGCACGUCGCCUGUUCGAUGAAAUGCUCCAGGGACCGGUGUUCCUUGAUACUGCCACUUUUAACAAGGUCCUGCAUGAUCUUUGCAAGAAAGGGGAUAUCUCUGAGGCUGCCGCGCUUCUCGCCAAGGUUCUCAAGCGGGGGAUGUCUGUGAACAGGUUCACCUACAAUAUUUGGAUCAGGGGGCUCUGCGAAUGUGGGAGGUUGGCCCAAGCCGUUGCACUUGUAAAAGAGAUGGACGACUACAUCACACCAGACGUUGUGACCUACAACACGCUCAUCCGUGGCCUU
rnacentral:rRNA from 1 species